rnacentral:rRNA from 1 species
UACGGGGGGGGCGAGCGUUGUUCGGAAUUACUGGGCGUAAAGGGCGCGUAGGCGGUUCGCUAAGUCGGAUGUGAAAACUCUGGGCUCAACCCAGAGCCUGCAUCCGAAACUGGCGGGCUAGAGUUCUGGAGGGGAUAGCGGAAUUCCUGGUGUAGCGGUGGAAUGCGCAGAUAUCAGGAGGAACACCAACGGCGAAGGCAGCUCGCUGGGACGGUACUGACGCUGAGGCGCGAAAGCGUGGGGAGCGAACAGG